AGUUGAUCCUGGCUCAGGAUGAACGCUAGCGACAGGCUUAACACAUGCAAGUCGAGGGGCAGCACGGGAGUAGCAAUACAACUGGUGGCGACCGGCGCACGGGUGAGUAACGCGUAUGCAACCUACCUAUCAGAGGGGAAUAACCCGGCGAAAGUCGGACUAAUACCGCAUAAAACAGGGGCACCGCAUGGUGAUAUUUGUUAAAGAGAUUCGCUGAUAGAUGGGCAUGCGUUCCAUUAGGUAGUUGGUGAGGUAACGGCUCACCAAGCCGACGAUGGAUAGGGGAACUGAGAGGUUGGUCCCCCACACUGGUACUGAGACACGGACCAGACUCCUACGGGAGGCAGCAGUGAGGAAUAUUGGUCAAUGGGCGGGAGCCUGAACCAGCCAAGUCGCGUGAAGGAAAGAAGGAUCUAUGGUUCGUAAACUUCUUUUGCAGGGGAAUAAAGUGCAGGACGUGUCCUGUUUUGUAUGUACCCUGAGAAUAAGGAUCGGCUAACUCCGUGCCAGCAGCAGC
rnacentral:rRNA from 1 species